GUUCGAGCGCCAUUUUCACCAUCGAGCCCUGCUCGGCGAUGGGCCUCGUCCUCGCGGACGGGCCCGAAACCCGUGGGCGCCGUCGUCCGGCCCUGAGCGUAGCAAGAGAAAUCCCUCGCUCGGUGGACCGUCCGGUGGCUGCCCCGACAACUUUUCACAAGGUUGGCCUCGGAUCAGGUGGGGAUACCCGCUGAACUUAA
rnacentral:misc_RNA from 1 species